rnacentral:rRNA from 1 species
UACGUAGGGUGCAAGCGUUAAUCGGAAUUACUGGGCGUAAAGCGUGCGCAGGCGGUUGGUUAAGUCUGAUGUGAAAGCCCCCGGGCUCAACCUGGGAAUGGCAUUGGAAACUGUCCAGCUGGAGUGUGGCAGAGGGGGGGUGGAAUUCCGCGUGUAGCAGUGAAAUGCGUAGAGAUGCGGAGGAACACCGAUGGCGAAGGCAGCCCCCCUGGGCCAACACUGACGCUCAGGCACGAAAAGCGUGGGGGAGCAAACAGG